AGCAGCUUCGGCGGCACAGAGGACUGAUGGCUGGCGGCAGGGAGGGCAAUCCCAAAGCAAGCGCGUCGGAACUUUGACACCAUCGUCAUUCUUAUACAUUGGAGGAUCUGGAAAGAGAGGAAUGCUAGAAUUUUUUAGCAGUCAGCUUGUAGUAUUGAUAGGGUCCUAGACCAAAUCAAAGAGGAUAUUGGAGUGUGGAGAUCUGCGGGAUGUGUGGCUGAUUUGGGUAGCUAG
rnacentral:rRNA from 1 species